rnacentral:rRNA from 1 species
AAACUUUCAACAACGGAUCUCUUGGUUCUGGCAUCGAUGAAGAACGCAGCGAAAUGCGAUAAGUAAUGUGAAUUGCAGAAUUCAGUGAAUCAUCGAAUCUUUGAACGCACAUUGUCGCCGCCAGCAUUCUGGCGGGCAUGCCUGUUCGAGCGUCAUUU